rnacentral:rRNA from 1 species
ACAGAGGUGCCAAGCGUUAGGCGGAAUCACUGGGCUUAAAGCGUGUGUAGGCGGGUCGUUAAGUGUCUUGUGAAAUCCCCCGGCUCAACCGGGGAAUGGCUGGGCAUACUGGCGAUCUUGAGCAGUCUAGGGGCAGAUGGAACAGACGGUGGAGCGGUGAAAUGCGUAGAUAUCGAGAGGAACACCUGCGGCGAAGGCGGGUUGCUGGGCCGACACUGACGCUGAUGCGCGAAAGCCAGGGGAGCGAACGGGA